rnacentral:rRNA from 1 species
UACGUAGGGGGCAAGCGUUUGUCCGGAUUUAUUGGGCGUAAAGAGCGUGUAGGCGGUUUGGUAGGUCCGUUGUGAAAACUCGAGGCUCAACCUCGAGACGCCGAUGGAAACCAUCAGACUAGAGUCCGGAAGAGGAGAGUGGAAUUCCUGGUGUAGCGGUGAAAUGCGCAGAUAUCGGGAGGAACACCAAUGGCGAAGGCAGCUUGCUGGGACGGUACUGACGCUGGAGGCGCGAAAGCGUGGGGAGCAAACAGG